UGACCAAGGGGCCGGGUUGUGCUGAUCAAUCGCGAUCGGCGUGACCUACGGUUACAGGGAGUACCUGCGAAAGGGCCGGGUCAGGCGAAAG
rfam:Spinacia oleracea cultivar SynViroflay scaffold86109.con0012.1, whole genome shotgun sequence.